GAUGAACGCUGGCGGCGUGCCUAAUACAUGCAAGUCGAACGAGGAACUUUAAUCUUCGGAUGAAAGUUUCCUAGUGGCGAACGGGUGAGUAACGCGUUGGUGACCUGCCCCAAAGUGGGGGAUAACAGUUCGAAAGGACUGCUAAUACCGCAUAAGAUCAAUGGGAUUAGAUGCCUAUUGAUUAAAGGCGAAAGUCGCUUUGGGAGGGGCCUGCGUCCCAUCAGCUUGUUGGUAGGGUAAUAGCCUACCAAGGCUAAGACGGGUAGGGGACCUGAGAGGGUGGCCCCCCACACUGGCACUGAAACACGGGCCAGACACCUACGGGUGGCAGCAGUAGGGAAUAUUGGACAAUGGGCGAAAGCCUGAUCCAGCAACGCCGCGUGCGCGAUGAAAGGCCUUCGGGUUGUAAAGCGCUUUUAGGGGAGAUGAGAAAGGACAGUAUCCUCUGAAUAAGCCUCGGCGAACUACGUGCCAGCAGCCGCGGUAAAGUCACGUCG
rnacentral:rRNA from 1 species